CAAAGCAGAAGUCUGGGAGCCGCCCCCACCUGGGGGGCUUAGGAGCCCAGAAGACAAUGCUGAGACAGGCACUUGAGGCCGUGCGCUUCCCAAAUCUGCCACGGGGAGCACUUGCAAGGAUAGCCCAGUCUAAUGGAAGAGACUGUCCCUGUCUGUAGGAAGUCCGCAGCCCAAGAGGGAAGACAGGAGACACAUCGAAAUUACGUCAGAGGACCCAAUCCAGGAUUCCACCUUCUAUGAGUCGUGUGUCUCCUUUGUCUCCUCCAGUCUGUGACAGCUCCUCCGUCUUUCCUUGUCUUUCGUGACUGUGACAUUUUUGAAGAGCACCGGUCAGUUAUUUUGUAGACUAUCCCUCAGUUUGGGUUUUUCUGAUAUUCUCUCAUCAUCAGAUUAAGUUAAGCCUUUUGGCAACAAAAACAGAGAAAUGCCGUGGUCUCCUUCUCAGUGCGUCAUCUCAGGUAUAUAAGACGUAUGUCAAUGUCUUAUUGCUGGUGACGUUAACCUCGUCCAUUAGCUAAGGCGGUGUUUGAGGAUCUCUCCACUGUAAAGUUACUAUUUUUUCCAUUGAAAUUAAUAAAUACCUUGAGGAAGUUACCUUGAGACGAGGCAACUAUCCUGUUUCCCCUUAAAUUGUCACCCACUAGUUUUCCCAUCUAUCAGUGGAGGCAAAGAGCUCUGGACGCCCACCGGGCUCAAGAACCUCAUUUGCCCCUUGAGGGCCUGUGGUUUUUAGGAGAGACUUUGGUGGCAGGAGUCCAGACCCAAGAAAGAACUCUUUCCUCCUAUCUCGUCCAGCCCCAAAGCCAGCCCGGGCCUCCUCAAACCCUCUGCAUGCCCUACAACUCUCCCAUGCCGGCCUCCCUUGAACAGGGAAGUGCUUCUCUAAUCAUUGAUGUCUAGAGUCUUUUCCUAGGCCCCCACCAGCCCUGGGGGAAAGGAGGGGACAGUCAGGAUCCUCCUCCUGUCACAGGUAAGAGGUCUGAGGUCCAGAGAGACUCAUAGUUAAGUGACCAGCUGGAACUCUCCUUGUGAUUCUCAGACCCACAGGGUCUGCCCAGGGCUGGG